GCCAGGAGAAGCGAGCCAGUAAAGAACAUCCCUCCAUGGCUUCUGCAUCAGCUCCUGCUUUCUGACCUGCUUGAGUUCCAGUCCUGACUUCCUUUGGUUUCCUUUAUUUGCAGUGGUCCUAUCCACUGAAGGCUGAGAAUGAGCAGUGGAUCAAGAUGGAAUUCACCUAUUGCAUAAAUUAAUCUUACCAUUAACAAGGUACAGAGAGUCCACUGAUCGGAAUAGAAUCUUUGGAGCAUCAAGUGGCAUCGGUGUCGUUUACAUACCUCUGUGUGAACCACCCUUGCACCCUAAUGUGAAUUCCAGAUGUGUGAGCCCUGAAGAGAAUGUGCUUAUUCAAAUAACUGGGGAUGUAAGACUUCUAUUUCUAUCAUGCAGACAACAGAGUCUGACUGGACCUGCUCACUUCUGGUAAAAGCUAUUAAAAAAAAUCAAUGAAGCCUAUGAGUUUGGAAUUAUGGGUAUGCACACAAUUGAAUGGAGGAUGGAAAAUUAAAAGCAUCAUAUGAUAAUGUGGCUGUCUAAUGAAGUAGGCCUGAUUUUGUUAAUGUGGAAAAACAUGAAAGAGGAGUUUCCACAGUUCAAGAUAACAUUUGAGAUAUAGAGCAAAUUUCUUGAGUCAAUGUAGAGAUUUUCAAAUAAGCAGUGAUGUACAUGUGAUUAUGAGUUAGAGUACAGACUUCAUUGUGUGUGUUUUAUAAAAUAUGGAAAACGAAAGUCUGAGAACAAGGAGCUUGUGCCUUGUGUGGUGGUAUCCUGCAGUUUGAAAGAAAGACAAUGCCAAGUAGACUAUGAAAAAAAAAAAAAAA
rnacentral:lncRNA from 1 species